UGGGGAAUAUUGCACAAUGGGGGAAACCCUGAUGCAGCGACGCCGCGUGAGCGAAGAAGGUUUUCGAAUCGUAGAGCUCUGUCCUAUGGGAAGAUAAUGACGGUACCAUAGGAGGAAGCCCCGGCUAACUACGUGCCAGCAGCCGCGGUAAUACGUAGGGGGCAAGCGUUGUCCGGAAUCACUGGGCGUAAAGGGUUCGCAGGCGGAAAUGCAAGUCAGUUGUGAAAGGCAGAGGCUCAACCUCUGUAAGCAAUUGAAACUGUAUUUCUUGAGAUGUGGAGAGGCAAGUGGAAUUCCUAGUGUAGCGGUGAAAUGCGUAGAUAUUAGGAAGAAUACCGGUGGCGAAGGCGACUUGCUGGACACAAACUGACGCUGAGGAACGAAAGCGUGGGUAGCAAACAGG
rnacentral:rRNA from 1 species